UGGGUUAACAAUGGAGUUUUUCGUGUGGGAGACCGUGUGAAUUGAUGAUGGGAUGGAUGGAGUAGUUGAAAAGAUGAAGAAAUUCAAAUUUGACACGCUUUCCUGUGUAGCCACGCCGCGCGUGACCCUUGCUACGCCGCGCGUAAUACUAAUUGUAACGGUCAAGAACUUCUUUCAAACAGGCCACGCCGCGCGUAAUCACC
rnacentral:lncRNA from 1 species